UUUGGGUGACACCCCGGAUGCAAUUACUGCCGGGCCAAAGGCAGUCCACAAGUCACGCGGUGCUGGGUAUCGCCUCAAGUCUGCAUCCCCAGAUCAGCGCGCAUCGGGAUCAGUGACCAUUGAUAGGCACCUCUCUGCAGGGCCUGAGCUGUCGGGUAAGGCGGCCACGGCGCCGCAGCAGCACGAAGCCGCAACAGCCGCGGCCAUAGCGAUCUCGGCUGUACCGAACAAGGCGUCGGGGGCCGGUACCUGCCUGCUGAAUGAGGAAAAGCCCGUGCUAACAGCAGCUGUAACCGAUCCAUACAAAGCUGCUGCUGCGACACCGAGGCAGACAUCCGUCGGAGGUCAGCACACCGGGCCGGUCAUCGUUGGCAUGGCCUUACCAACUUGCGACGAAAGCCGUGACGAGGAGGCAGACAAGGACGCGGAAGAAUCUAUAUCGCCGCUGGCCCGCUUCCUUAACUUUGCUAACAUUAGCAAUGACCAAGGAGUCACGCCCCCGCCGUAUCCCCUGUCCUCAAGGACUUGCGCUAUCGUUGUCGACAGCAGCACUAACAGGGUCGUAAAUGGGGCUGCUGUGGGACGGGAGACUGGCGUUCAGCCAGACAGCCGACCCCUUGAGAUACCUGGCAGC
rnacentral:lncRNA from 1 species